rnacentral:rRNA from 1 species
UACAUGUGGGGCAAGCGUUGUUCGGAAUUACUGGGCAUAAAGGGUGCGUAGGCGGCUUGUUAAGUCAGGGGUGAAAUCCUGGAGCUCAACUCCAGAACUGCCUUUGAUACUGAGGAUCUUGAGUUCGGGAGAGGUGAGUGGAACUGCGAGUGUAGAGGUGAAAUUCGUAGAUAUUCGCAAGAACACCAGUGGCGAAGGCGGCUCACUGGCCCGGUACUGACGCUGAGGUGCGAAAGCGUGGGGAGCAACAGG